AUCAUUCCCUCAAUAUUGGAGGAAAUAUGCUAUAUAAUAGUCGAAGAUUUCUUCGACUAUUAUAUAGCAUAUUUCCUCCAAUAUUGAGGGAAUGAUUUCUCUUAUUU
rnacentral:miRNA from 1 species